AAAAGCAUUUCAGGCAGAGGAAAGUGCCAGGGCAGAGGCCCCGAGGAUAUGGGACUUCCUUGUGGACAUAAAAUGGCUGCUGCAGCUCCAGGCCACACAUGCACCUUCCAGGUAGAAAGAACUCACUAGGAAAGGUGCUGCUGACAGCCAUCGUGUGCUGCGGAGGAAGAUUGCCUGAGAAUGGAGCCAUUCAGGAGGAAAUGGGGCAGAGAAAUAAAGAGAAAUCAAAUCCCAUCUUUUCAGUCCCGCUUCCCUCACUCCCUCAUCCAUUCUUCCUAGCAGACUAUUCAGUUGUGCUUUUUAAGAUUUAUUCUGUUUUUGUUUUUCACCUAAGACGGUUUAGCUUGUUUGUUUUUCUCUUGUUUGCGACCACUGUGUUCUAGCGGUUAUUACGAAUUUAAUAGACUUUAUACAAGAUUUUGUAAAGGGCAGAAAACUCAAGAUUGGACAGUGACUUUCUCCUAGGACACUAUCUUGCCG
rnacentral:lncRNA from 1 species